rnacentral:lncRNA from 1 species
GUACCACUGAGCUACACUCCCAGCCACACGCUUCUGUUUUAAUCCUCCCCAGGACAUUGUGAGCUCCUUCCACAAAGAUGUAUCUCUUGAAGGAAGCAAAGAUCGGUUUUGCUCAAGGUUGCAUUCCCAGAUAUUG